AAAGUCGUAACAAGGUUUCCGUAGGUGAACCUGCGGAAGGAUCAUUAACAAAUCGUAGUGUGUGUGUGGGUUUGGGUGGUGGUGAUGGGCGUGAGCCCAUCGUCUCCUCCACCACAUGCAUACAUAUAUACCCCAAGCUUGGGAAGGGCCUUUGGGCUUGGAACAGCUUUGGUAGCAGUCCCGAGAGGGGCUGCAGGUCGGGCCUUCCCGAAAGGGGGGCCAGGCCACAUAGACGCUUGACGUGUUUGACAGAGUAUAGUUGCUUCAUAAAGAAUACAACUUUUAACAAUGGAUCUCUUGGCUCCU
rnacentral:misc_RNA from 1 species